GAGGGGUUCCAAUGGAGAAGAUGGCAGCCUAUAGCUCAUCCAAGGCAGCUCUGACCAUGUUUUCAGCAGUCAUGAGACAAGAGCUAUCCAAAUGGGGAGUUAAAGUCUCUGUCAUCCAGCCUGGAGGCUUCCGAACAAACAUCACAGGCACGAGUGACAUGUGGGACAAGCUGGAGAAAAACAUCCUGGACCACCUCACCCCUGACGUGCAAGAGGACUACGGCCAGGACUAUAUCCUUAGGGAACGCAAUUUUCUCACGUUAAUGCAAACCUACUCUGUAAUGGACAUCUCCCCAGUGCUCCUGGACGUCCAGCAUGCCAUCUCUGCUAAGAGCCCCUUUGCAUUUUAUGCACCGGGGAAAAUGACUUAUCUGUGGCUCUGCUUUGUUUCCCUUAGCCCUACUGGCAUAUUUGAUUAUUUUAACAAAAAAAUGCACAGCUAUGGAAGGAGCACGCCCAGAGUGUUAAGCAUGCCUAACUGGAAGAAUGAGGCCAUGUAGGCAAAUCAGUGGGAAAUGUUAGAGUCUUGGAAUGAAAGGGAAUCUCGAGCUUCCCAUUAAAGUUGUGGUUUCCUACCUUGCA